rnacentral:rRNA from 1 species
AGAGUUUGAUCCUGGCUCAGGAUGAAUGCUGGCGGCGUGUCUAAGGCAUGCAAGUCGAAUGCUAGUUUACUAGCAUGGCAAACGGGAGAGUAACACAUUAAUAAUGUACCCUGGAGUUGAGAAUAACCCGGUGAAAACUGGAAUAAUACUCAAUAAUAGUGGGGGGACAAAAGUCAUUCCCACUUAAAGAUUUAUCGCUCCGGGAGCAGUUUAUGGCCUAUCAGCUUGUUGGUGAGGUAAAAGCUCACCAAGGCAACGACGGGUAGCGGGUGUGAGAGCAUGGCCCGUCUCACUGGGACUGAGACACUGCCCAGACUCCUACGGGAGGCUGCAGUCAAGAAUAUUCCUCAAUGGCCGAAAGGCUGAAGGAGCGACGCCGCGUGUAUGAAGACGCUCUUCGGAGUGUAAAGUACUUUUAUCAGGGACGAAUCUAUGACGGUACCUGACGAAUAAGGGGCUGCUAACCUCGUGCCAGCAGCAGCGGUAAUACGAGGGCCCCGAGCAUUAUCCGGAUUUAUUGGGCGUAAAGGGUCCGUAGGCGGUCUAAUACAUCUUUCGUUAAAUCUCCCAGCUCAACUGGGAGUCAGCGGGAGAUAUGGUUAGACUAGAGGCUGGAAGAGGCAAGUGGAAUUGUUGGUGUAGGGGUUAAAUCCGUUAAUAUCAACAAGAACACCAAAUGCGAAGGCAGCUUGCUAGAACAGUUCUGACGCUGAGGGACGAAAGCGUGGGGAGCGAAUAGGAUUAGAUACCCUAGUAGUCCACGCUGUAAACGAUGAAUGCUAAGUAUUGGGAGUUUCGACCCUUCCAGUGCUGUUAUCUUAAGUUAACACGUUAAGCAUUCCGCCUGGGGAGUACGAGCGCAAGCUUAAAACUCAAAGGAAUAGACGGGGAUCCGCACAAGCGGUGGAGCAUGUGGUUUAAUUCGACAGUAAGCGAGGAACCUCACCAAGGCUUGACAUAUAGCUGCAAGCUCUAGAAAUAGAGUCGCCUUCGAGGGUGCUAUACAGAUGCUGCAUGGUUGUCGUCAGCUCGUGUCGUGAGAUGUACCGUUAAGUCGGAAAACGAGCGCAACCCCUAUCCUAUGUUUUAUAUGUCAUAGGAAACUGCCUGCUUUAAGUAGGAGGAAGGCGGGGAUGACGUCAAAUCAGCAUGGUUCUUAUGCCUUGGGCCACACACGUGCUACAAUGGGAAGUACAAAGGGACGCUAAGUCGCAAGAUGGAGCAAACCCCCUAAAACUUCUCUCAGUUCGGAUUGAGGUCUGAAAUUCGACCUCAUGAAGCUGGAAUCGCUAGUAAUCGUGAAUCAGCUAUGUCACGGUGAAUACGUUCUCGGAUCUUGUACUCACCGCCCGUCACGUCAAGGGAGUCGACAGUACCCGAACCUCGCAC